UAAAAUCGCAUCCGAUGAGCGUUGCCACCGCCCUUACCAAAAGCUAUUUUGCAUUGGUAUCAUAUCAUUCCUCCUCCUUUGGUGUAAUAAAUCGGCUGAUCUAUCAUCAAUAUCACAGCGAUAAAUACCGAUCAUCUUCGCUCUGCAACAACCUAUGAACAAUGCACCGUCAACCCACCGAAGCUUCUUCUGUACGCUGUUGCGGGACUGCAGGACAUCAUUGCAAAUGCGCUGAGAUUGCCCUGCUAAACAGCAAACAAAUUCAAAUGCUAACCAAAGUCGUUCUUGACAUUAAAAUGCAAAACGACGAGAUCCUUGAGUGGCUGGUUCAACGCGACGAAAAUCCAGUUCCGCAAGAAACGCCCGUAAUGAUACAGCCAACGCAAGAAAAUGAGGAAGUUAUUACGUUAAUUGCAUCUAGAAAGGAGUUAGCUGAUUUCGAACAGAAUCUAGGUUUAGAGGAACAGUUUGAGGACGUGAAGCGCAAGUUGCAGGCCAAAAUGAAGGCCACAGCAACAAUGGAGCGACUUCACGAGGCUUUGUACCUUAUGUUCAAUAGAUUGUUUUUGGUUGAAUGUAGCUGGAGCGGUAGAGGAGUUACUGGACCGAAAAUACCCUUUCGACGAUAUGUAAAUGUAUUGCGGCUUUUUGCUGACGUAGGGAAUGAAGAUGGCCAAAAAGUAGAUUUUGCAUCACUUGAGAAUUUUUUUCAAAAAAAACUACGAAAUGCAAAAAACAGUGCCGUUGUAUCCGGCACAAUAAAAAGCGUUUCGCGUAGCUCAUUCUCACGGAAGUGCAAAGGACGUCCUAAGAAAAAAAUGAAUUAGAUAUGGCAUCAUCCAUUCAUUACGAAACGCAAAAAAUGCACGAUUUCAACCUGCUCACUCUAACAACAGCUUUUUUAUUGAACGAAAUCAGUGUUUUUUGUGAUUUGAACUCGUUUGUUUGAACUGAAUUUGUAUUAAGAGGCAUUCACAAUUUUUGAAACGAAACAGGCUAAAAUUAUAAGGAAAAGUUAUCGCAUACAGCAAUCAAUUUCAAAAAGAUUCUGUUGAUCGUAUGCUCAGCGCUGUUUGCAAUGUUCUUACAUCAUCAUCAUCAUCAGAAGCAUUUCUUACAGGUCUUUCUGGUCCACUAUAAACAUGUUAAUCUUUCCAUAAUUUUUUCUUUGGCUUUACACAUUUUAUCAUCAUCAAAUUGAUUGUUCUAUUUCACAUAACAUAUGCUUAAUGCUAAGCAUGUCUUACAAAUUACUUACAAAAUCGAUAUUAUUUGCAGGAGGACAACAUUUUCGAUGCAUGUAUCCAUAAAAUUACGACCAAUGUUCAAUUGGUGACGAUAAAAGGGCUAACUGCCUUGACUCCAUCCCCAGUAUGAUUGAAAGGAAUUUGAUUAGUAUUACACCUGUUUCCAGCUUUGCUGUUGAAUCUGGUGCCAUUUGCUACGAAUCGCGUAUCGUCACCUGCGAAUCGUAUGCCACUAUCAUCGAAUAAGUGCCACUGCGCUCUUCUCAGUAACGGAAUGCAACGUUACUGCGACGAUCCUUUCGAAGGUUUUUUUUCGUCUGUCCGUCCGUGCUAACCAAAUUCCGUCGUGGGUUCAAUCCACGCAUGAACCGGCCCUUAUACCUUAUCUCUACAAUGUAUAGAAGAGUCUACUUUUAGACAGAACAAACUGUGGAUGAGACGGUGUUAUUAGCAGUUAUUUAAUUCCAGACGCCCACAUUAUUAUGGCGUUUCUUCAUCAGACUGAAACGUUCUUUGUAGGAACCUUUUCAAUGUCGAUCUUACAAUGAUAUUUAUACGGAAGUUUCCUGAACUUUGCAGCGGAUUUGUCAUGUCAACUAAAUAGCAUCGAGCGAUCCAGCCUGUAAAGCUCGGUUCGAUUGUCCAUAAACCAUAGGUUACAUAGAUUAUUUCCUUCGAAGUUCUCAAAGAAGGAAAUCGAAUGACAAGGACGUGUCAGUAUGAGAUUGCUGUCGGGAUAUUAGCAAAAAAAAUCAUAAUUAAUGAAUAACUAGUACAGAGCAGUAAUGGUAACAUGCACACUUGACGCAUACUUACUUGCUUACUUUUGUAUCAUGCGCUUACCAGUGUUGAGGUCUACAGGAGCACCAUGAAACGCUUUCAAUCUAGCGCCAACGUUUGACUCACAUAGCCUGAAAAUGUAUUUACAUAAAUUGUGUGCUUGGGAUGGUCCCAGAGAAAAUUUAUAAAAGGAUAAAAAGGGAUUUAAAAACCUCACACUGCAUCAACUGUUGCCUAGAGCACGCUGCAGUAGCUCCGAAUGAGUGACUAUCCCUGGACAGGGUUAAUGGACCAUUGCGAUAUAUCUGGUUUUGGAUAUGGCAUAGCGUGCGAUAUUUUCGGCAGUUCAACUUACCUCUAUAUAGUUAAAAGAAACAUCAUUUCAAAAUACCUACAAAACAUUACUGUGAAAGCAAUGCAAAAAAAUGAAUGCACAAAACACAACACUUACGUUACGACAAUACGCGUUUUGUAAUACUUUUUUUAGUUAAAUACUAGGCGCCCUUUAUUAUCCAACCGUCUGCGAGCUACUUAAACGCACCUAUCAAACGGGUCUACUGCUAUGUCUGCAACCUCCGACAGGGCAUGGGAGGUGGGGGUGGAGAGAGGACAGCGGGUAGGAGGAGACGACGAUAAUACCACUAAACCGUUGCGCAUCUUGCCGCACUGGCUAGACCGACUGUAUGCUGCUGGCUGCCCGAAACUAACCUAUCAACUACUUCCUUCCUCCCGAUGCACGGAAACCAGAAGGGGAUUUUGUCGUCCCCGUGUGUGUGUGUGUGUUUGCGCACGAGCACGUGCGUCAAAAACAAAGAGAUCGCAACAAA